UACGUAGGGGGCUAGCGUUGUCCGGAAUUAUUGGGCGUAAAGAGCGUGUAGGCUGUUCGAUAAGUCUGCUGUAAAAGUCGGGGGCUCAACCCCCGAAAGCCGGUGGAUACUAUUGGACUAGAGUGCGGAAGAGGCGAGUGGAAUUCCUGGUGUAGCGGUGAAAUGCGCAGAUAUCAGGAGGAACACCAAUUGCGAAGGCAGCUCGCUGGGACGCAACUGACGCUGAGACGCGAAAGCGUGGGUAGCAAACAGG
rnacentral:rRNA from 1 species